rnacentral:tRNA from 1 species
CGAGGAUUCGCCAAGCGGUAAGGCAAGGGCCUUUGACUCCCUCAUCGCCGGUUCGACCCCGGUAUCCUCGA